CCUACGGGAGGCAGCAGUGGGGAAUAUUGCACAAUGGGGGAAACCCUGAUGCAGCCAUGCCGCGUGUGUGAAGAAGGCCUUCGGGUUGUAAAGCACUUUCAGCGAGGAGGAAAGGUUGUUGGCUAGUACCCAACAGCUGUGACGUUACUCGCAGAAGAAGCACCGGCUAACUCCGUGCCAGCAGCCGCGGUAAU
rnacentral:rRNA from 1 species